rnacentral:lncRNA from 1 species
AAAAAGAGUAACGCCAAACAAAGAUAGGGAUAGAGAUAAGAUUGAAAAUACAGCGCUGAUCAACAACAGAACCCUCCCCUCCUCGCGAUCGUCUUCAAAGACGAGAACCAUCAACGACCCCUCCCCAUCGAGCUUCUUCUUCAGGAGACAAAAAUCAAAAACAGAGCUUAGGCACUCUCAAACCAACGCCGUAGCAACCAAAACCAAAUGACCCUCUUUUCUUCACCUUCUUCUCCGCUUUUGAAUACACACACAUGCACAACAGAGAUGGGGUAUUUCAAUCCAAAACAAUCGAGUGAACAGUAGUGAAAACAGAUAUGGGACGAGCCAAAAAUAGGGUCAAACCCUUCCAAUUUCAAGCGACGUUCAGUUGCCAAAGUUCCGGUGGCGAUUUGGUCUUUGUUUUGGUUUAUUUUUGGAUUUUUAUUCGCGCUUCAGGUAUGAAAUUUCGAUUCGAAAUGUUGUAAUUGUCACUGGAUGCUCUAUUACACUUAAAUGUGUAAUAAUUUUUCCUCUAUCACUCUAAAAAUUUCGUUACUCGUUUUCGUUUUCCUCUGUUUCAUUUCGUCAUUUAUGUGACGAUUUGAGGCCUCAGUUUCGGCUAUUGAUCAAGUUACGUGAGGUUAUGCAGUAUUUGGAACAGUAUAUACUUUGUAUACCCAGUUGGGGAAUGCUUGGAAAUAUGUGUUUUCUUGUUUGUCUUUCAAUUUGGGGUCGUUGCUAUUUGGUUUAAUUAUAGUAUGCUUUUGUGAGUCUUAACGGAAUGUGGAUCCUGUUGUGUUGUUCUCUGAAUCGGGUUCUGUGGGUUCGAUAUGAAAUUCAAGAAUUAAUACAUAAUAUGAUUAUUGGUUGAUAUAAAAGGGUUCAUAAAUUUUUCCAAUUAAUUAAUUAAUUAGGGUGACACUUUGAAAUGAUUCAGAGUUACCCUCCUUUUGAUGGGGUCUAGUUGUUGCUAAUAGUCUGAAUUUAGUAAUUCCAGGGGAUGGAAAAUAGUCAACUGAUGGUCCUGAAUAAUUCGCCCUAAGCAUAGUUAGAACAUCACGACUACGGGUACGGUUCCCGUGGCGUAGUUGUGGUACCUAAUUUCAAAUUAGUUUUAAAUACGUAUAUCCUCACUUCAUUUAGUUGAAUAAUUUUGAGGCGUGCCAUUCACACAUUUGAAUCAUAUAACCUAUGGCCCUCACUUGAUUAAUCUUAGUUUCUUAGAAAUCGAGGCGUGUCAUUUAGCGAAUUUUUCAUGGC